rnacentral:lncRNA from 1 species
UUGAAUAGGGAGCAUGCCGUACUGACAGCCUGAGGAGCCGUUCUCCGUGAGGAUACGCUACAUGUUCUUUUUUCGCCACGUUUGGUCUCACUGUGUGGAGGGAUUUUCUCUAGUGAUCUCAAAGGAGAAUGCUCAGGGGGAAUUCAGGGACCAGAGAUUUAAUGACUGCAGUUUUAUAGUCUUCAUCAGACCAUCAAGGCUAUAGUCCAAAGAUAGGAGUUAUCAUCUCCAUGAAUUCUGUCAUCUCAAUCAACCUUCAAGGGAAAAUCAUCGCAAGAAGGCCUCAGGGUGACCGUAUUAGCCUUACCUAUGUGGAGACCUCAUCUUCGCUUAGAGCUAGAAACUUUGGAAAUCUGGAUAAUCCCAUGCUUUUCCUCUGGAACAGGAGAUUUGGAGAAUGCGUAUGUCAGUAGGUAUCUAGGUGGUUUGACUAAAAGGAAGUGGUUGUUUGCACUAGAGAUGAUUAGUCACUUGGAAU